rnacentral:rRNA from 1 species
UUUAAAGAGAGUUUGAUCCUGGCUCAGGACGAACGCUGGCGGCGUGCCUAAUACAUGCAAGUCGAACGAACGGAGGAAGAGCUUGCUCUUCCAAAGUUAGUGGCGGACGGGUGAGUAACACGUGGGCAACCUGCCUGUAAGUUGGGGAUAACUCCGGGAAACCGGGGCUAAUACCGAAUGAUAAAGUGUGGCGCAUGCCACGCUUUUGAAAGAUGGUUUCGGCUAUCGCUUACAGAUGGGCCCGCGGUGCAUUAGCUAGUUGGUAGGGUAAUGGCCUACCAAGGCAACGAUGCAUAGCCGACCUGAGAGGGUGAUCGGCCACACUGGGACUGAGACACGGCCCAGACUCCUACGGGAGGCAGCAGUAGGGAAUCUUCCGCAAUGGACGAAAGUCUGACGGAGCAACGCCGCGUGUAUGAAGAAGGUUUUCGGAUCGUAAAGUACUGUUGUUAGAGAAGAACAAGGAUAAGAGUAACUGCUUGUCCCUUGACGGUAUCUAACCAGAAAGCCACGGCUAACUACGUGCCAGCAGCCGCGGUAAUACGUAGGUGGCAAGCGUUGUCCGGAUUUAUUGGGCGUAAAGCGCGCGCAGGCGGUCUUUU